GUUGUCAUUUAACUGUUUUUAUUUAUUUGCAAUAGUGUAAUUAAACAUAAUAUAGAUAAUUUGCCACAAAAUGAAAUAUUCAUAUGCAUUUAUAUGUAAAGUUGUAUUUAUUCUCAUAAUCUGUAUAUUUCAGAUCUGUCGUGAACUAAACACUUUAGAAAUAUCCCAGUUAGUAUAGAAAUUCACCACGCACUAUACAGAUUGCUAAUUUACUAAAUAAUUCAAAAGUGGUAAUUAUAUAGAAGAUCGGGAAUGAAUUUGUGAGACUAACUAUCUAUAAAAGACUAAAGGACAAAUAAGUGAUAUACCUAUAGAUGGUCGUCGUAUCCAAUCAAAAUUAAGCUAAAUCAUACCAUUAACAAAGGUCCCCGGUUGACACAAAAUUAUGUAUAAACAACUGUCGACGAACAGCUUUUGAGGUUCAAGCGAUUCCCUUGUUAGUCUGUUUUUCAGAAUUGAAUGUCGUUAAAUUACUGUUGAUUAAAUUUGGAACCGGCUUAUUAAUAACGCACCAUGAUUUUACAAUUUUGUGAGCGUUUAAGCUGACUUUUUUACUUUUAACACACAUCCCAGUUAUUCUGAAAUAGCAUUAUAAAUAGCAAAAUAAGUUGAUUUACGGAUAUUUAAAUACCGGAAUUCCAUGGCUGAAUGUUUCAAUAAUAAAGUGAAAUCAGGUUACUAGUAUUAAUUUUUAAGAAGUAGUAUACUCGUUUCACCCGUUAGACAAAAUCAAAAAGAUGAUAAUGAUAGAUCUCUUGCUCAUUUUCCUGUUUUCUUAUCUAACACGCUCAAAAUGACGCCUAGAGGUGGCCAUUUCGAAAAAAGCUGCAAAAAUUAAAGGGUAAAACUAUUUAUUUCGCUCAAAAAGACAAAAUGUAAACUUCUGAAAAAGUUUGGUGCUUGUAAUAUCAAUUAAAAAACAUUUCGCUACAAAUAUAAUUUAACAUUUUGCAUAGUACACGUGGUCAUCUUGAAAGACAAAACAAUCCAAACCAACUUGUUUAGGGGCCAGCUGAAGGACGCCUCCGGGUGCGGGAAUUUCUCGCUACAUUGAAGACCUGUUGGUGACCUUCUGCUGUUGUUUUUUUCUAUGGUCGGGUUGUUGUCCCUUUGGCACAUUCCCCAUUUCCAUUCUCAAUUUUAAAGACUCAUAAAACCAAAAGACAUUUACAUCAACAGUUACAAAUAAUAGAUAAGAAACAACACGAGCUUCACAAAAAACCGGGAGUGAAAUUAGGUGCUCCAGAAGAGUAGGCAUUUCCUGCACCGUAUACGGCACCCGUCGUGUUAUUUCUUUGUUCAGUUCUGUAAUGAUGGAAGGUUGUUAAUUAUGAUUUGGAAAUAAUAUAAGAUAUGAUUUCUGACACACUUUUGUCAUAAUGGCCAAAGUCAGGUUCACAACUUCACAUUGUGGUUAACAUUAUUGUAAGAUUCCAUCAAUAUUGGUCUAUUCAUCAAUAUCGAUGGAACCUUAUAAUGUUAUGAGUUAUAAAACUAGAAAAUUUAGGUUUUACUUUAAAGCCCCUUUUUGGCGAUAUAAAAAAUGAAAUUUUACUCCUUUAUAAGUCAUUGUUGGUCUGUUGUCGGAAUAAAAAAAAGUAUCCUGGGCUCCUCAAAUAAUACAAUUCUUCUAAGAAUGAAAUAUAAUAAAUGCGUUUCCAGCUAUUCUGUUCCAAAUCAAUGUCCGACAUAAAGUUUCCUUAAAGAAUCCUAAUUAUUUCAUGUAUCAUAAUUGUAUACUAUGUCUUGAUUAAUUUACAUAACAUAUUGUUUAAACUGAAGUUUUUAUCCUUUACUGCGAGAGAAAACAGUUAAACUAGAUCUGAUUCAAGAAAGUGGAAUAAGAAUUAAAUCUUUGUCCUACUGAACUUACCCUUACAAACUCUUAUAUAAAGUGUCGAAAAACAAGAAGUAGUUGUUCAGUAAGAGAACUAGUGAAAUGUAUGCCCUAAACAAUUACAGUUCAUUCAACAUAUUGGAAAGGUAUUAACAAACAAUAGAUAGUUAUGCCAACGACAGAAAAAUAAUCAAUCAAUUCAACGCACUAUUAAAAUUGUCAAGCUGCUGGCCAAAUGUGUUAAGUACUUCUUGAGUAAAGUUUGAAAUAUUUGCUGCAUUAACAGACAAACGAAUGGACGAACGGACAAUGUGAAUGCAAUACAACUUAAUUAGAACAAACAUUGUUCAAGACAGAAAAUGUUGAUGCAUUGUUAUUUUCGUUUAUAAAAA
rnacentral:lncRNA from 1 species